GGUGAACGCUGGCGGCGUGCUUAAGACAUGCAAGUCGAACGGCAGUCUUCGGACUGUAGUGGCGCACGGGUGAGUAACGCGUAACUGACCUACCCCAAAGUCGCGGAUAACGAUUCGAAAGAAUCGCUAAUACGUGAUGUGCUGUCAGAUUGUGUUCUGCCAGUAAAGAUUGAUUGCUUUGGGAUGGGGUUGCGUUCCAUCAGCUAGUUGGUGGGGUAAAGGCCCACCAAGGCGACGACGGAUAGCCGGCCUGAGAGGGUGGCCGGCCACAGGGGCACUGAGACACGGGUCCCACUCCUACGGGAGGCAGCAGUUAGGAAUCUUCCACAAUGGGCGAAAGCCUGAUGGAGCGACGCCGCGUGAGGGAUGAAGGUCUUCGGAUCGUAAACCUCUGAAUCAGGGACGAAAGACACUUCGGUGGGAUGACGGUACCUGAGUAAUAGCACCGGCUAACUCCGUGCCAGCAGCCGCGGUAAGAC
rnacentral:rRNA from 1 species